GCGUCGGUGGCGGAGCGGUCAAUCGCAAGGGACUGUAAAUCCCUCGACCUUUGGUCUACGCAGGUUCGAAUCCUGCCCGGCGCACCA
rnacentral:tRNA from 1 species